GGCCUUGUGGCGCAACGGCUAGCGCGUUCGCCUCCAGUUCUCUUCAAACAGAACCGUGACAGCGAAAGGUUAUCUGUUCAAAUCAGGUCAGGGUCA